GGGGCUGUGGCUCAGUUGAAGAGCCUCUGCUUGGCAGGCGGAAAGUCCCAGGUUCAAUCCCAGGCACCUCCA
rnacentral:tRNA from 1 species